rnacentral:rRNA from 1 species
GACGAACGCUGGCGGCGUGCUUAACACAUGCAAGUCGAACGGAAAGGCCCUGCUUUGGUGGGGUGCUCGAGUGGCGAACGGGUGAGUAACACGUGAGUAACCUGCCCUUGACUUUGGGAUAACUUCAGGAAACUGGGGCUAAUACCGGAUAGGAGCUCCUGCUGCAUGGUGGGGGUUGGAAAGUUUCGGCGGUUGGGGAUGGACUCGCGGCUUAUCAGCUUGUUGGGGGGGUAGUGGCUUACCAAGGCUUUGACGGGUAGCCGGCCUGAGAGGGUGACCGGCCACAUUGGGACUGGGAUCCGGCCCAGCCCCCUCCGGGAGGAAGAAGUGGGGAUUAUUGCACAAUGGGCGGAAGCCUGAUCCAGCAACGCCGCGUGCGGGAUGACGGCCUUCGGGUUGUAAACCGCUUUCGCCUGUGACGAAGCGUGAGUGACGGUAAUGGGUAAAGAAGCACCGGCUAACUACGUG